rnacentral:rRNA from 1 species
CCUACGGGAGGCAGCAGUGGGGAAUAUUGGACAAUGGGGGCAACCCUGAUCCAGCCAUGCCGCGUGUGUGAAGAAGGCCCUCGGGUUGUAAAGCACUUUCAGUGAGGAAGAACGCCUGGUGGUUAAUACCCAUCAGGAAAGACAUCACUCACAGAAGAAGCACCGGCUAACUCCGUGCCAGCAGCGGCGGUAAUACGGAGGGUGCGAGCGUUAAUCGGAAUUACUGGGCGUAAAGCGCGCGUAGGUGGCUUGAUAAGCCGGUUGUGAAAGCCCCGGGCUCAACCUGGGAACGGCAUCCGGAACUGUCAAGCUAGAGUGCAGGAGAGGAAGGUAGAAUUCCCGGUGUAGCGGUGAAAUGCGUAGAGAUCGGGAGGAAUACCAGUGGCGAAGGCGGCCUUCUGGACUGACACUGACACUGAGGUGCGAAAGCGUGGGUAGCAAACAGGAUUAGAUACCCGUGUAGUC